AGAGUUUGAUCAUGGCUCAGAAUCAACGCUGGCGGCGCGCCUAACACAUGCAAGUCGAACGAGAAAGUGGAGCAAUCCAUGAGUAAAAUGGCGUACGGGUGAGUAACACGUGGAUAAUCUGCCCUUUAGUGGGGAAUACCGCUGGGAAACCGGCGACAAUACCGCAUAAGCUCGAGAGAGGAAAGCAGCAAUGCGCUGAAGGAGGAGUCCGCGGUCGAUUAGUUAGUUGGCGGGGUAAAGGCCCACCAAGACUGUGAUCGAUAGCCGGCCUGAGAGGGCACACGGCCACACUGGCACUGAAACACGGGCCAGACUCCUACGGGAGGCAGCAGUGGGGAAUCUUGCACAAUGGGGGAAACCCUGAUGCAGCGACGCCGCGUGAGCGAUGAAGCCCCUCGGGGUGUAAAGCUCUUUCGGCAGGGAAGAUUAUGACGGUACCUGCAAAAGCAGCUGCGGCUAACUACGUGCCAGCAGCCGCGGUAAUACGUAGGCAGCAAGCGUUGUUCGGAGUUACUGGGCGUAAAGGGUGCGUAGGCGGCUUUUUAAGUUUGGUGUGAAAUCUCCCGGCUCAACUGGGAGGGUGCGCCGAAUACUGAGAGGCUAGAGUGUGGGAGAGGAAAGUGGAAUUCCUGGUGUAGCGGUGAAAUGCGUAGAUAUCAGGAGGAACACCGGUGGUGUAAACGGCUUUCUGGACCAUAACUGACGCUGAGGCACGAAAGCGUGGGUAGCAAACAGGAUUAGAUACCCUAGUAGUCC
rnacentral:rRNA from 1 species